rnacentral:rRNA from 1 species
AUUGAACGCUGGCGGCAGGCCUAACACAUGCAAGUCGAACGAGUGGCGGACGGGUUAGUAAUGUCUGGGAAACUGCCUGAUGGAGGGGGAUAACUACUGGAAACGGUAGCUAAUACCGCAUACCAUCGGAUGUGCCCAGAUGGGAUUAGCUAGUAGGUGGGGUAAAGGCUCACCUAGGCGACUAUCCCUAGCUGGUCUGAGAGGAUGACCAGCCAAACUGGAAAUGAGAAAAGGUCCAGACUCCUACGAGCGGCAGCAGUGGGGCAUAUUGCACAACGGGCGCAAGCCUGAUGCAGCCAUGCCGCGUGGAUUAAGAAGGCCUUCGGGUUGUAAAGUACUUUCAGCGGGGAGGCGUUACACUCAGAAGCAGCACCGGCUAACUCCGUGCCAGCAGCCGCGGUAAUUC